AACUGUAUUUUCCACUCCAUGCAUCUGAUGAAGUGGGUUUUAGCCCACAAAAGCUUAUGCCCAAAUAAAUGUGUUGGUCUCUAAGGUGCCACAAGGACGCCUGGUUGUUUACGCUCUGAAGGAAUCGCUUGUCCAGCCACAGAGCCUCAAAACCUGCACCCAAGCAAGGCGUCAGCGACCCAGCCCAGCUCACAGCGGGGAAAAGGAGAAGUCCAGGGAAGCCAGGCACACCAAGGUCUGCGGAACUGCCGAUUAAGGUAGGGCCUACCUGAAAUCUCAGCAAAGCAAAUGGCUGUAUGGCUCCGCAUAUCUCUGCAAACUGUGAUCUGACUAUUUUUG